UAGUAACUGCGAGUGAAGCGGGAAAAGCUUCAAAUUUUGAAUCUCGGCGGUCUCCGGCCGUCCGAGUUGUAAUCUAGAGAAGCGUUCUUCCGCGCUGGACCGUGGACAAGUCUCCUGGAAGGGAGCGUCAUAGAAGGUGACAAUCCCGUCUCUGACACGGACUUACCCAGGGCUAUGUGAUGCCCUCCCAACAAGUCCAAUUUGUUUGGGAAUUGCAGCUUCAAAUAGGGGGGUAAACUCCAUCUAAAGCCUAAAUACAGGCAAAAAACCAAUAGCCAAACAAGUACCGGGAGGAAAAAAUAAAAAAAACUUUGAAAAAAAAGUUAAACAGUACGUGAAAUUGCUGGAAGGGAAACCCCUGGAAGUCAGUCCCCUCCGGCCAAGAAUCAACCCUGCUUCCCUUGCUGGGCGUAUUUCUCGGCCCAACGGGCCACCAUCGAUUUUCAAUGGCCGUAAAAGGACGGUAGCCAAAGGUGGCACUUCUUCGAAGUGGGGUUAUACCCUUCCGUACGUGAUGCGAUUGGCCGGAAUCAAGGAACCUCGGCAUGACCCCUUCAAGGGUUCGGGGCUUUUGCCCACCCACCAGGCCUAGGAGGCUGGCAUAAUGGUCUUCAACCAACCCGCCUUGAAACACGAACCAAGGAGUCUAACAUGCCUGCAAGUGGUUUGGGUGAAAAACCCAACCCCGUAAUGAAAGUGAAAGUUGGAACCCCUGCCGGGGGGGGCACCAACGCCCGAACCUGAGCCUUUUGGCCGAACGGAAUCCUGCGGUAAAACCAUUGUAUUGUUUGGGGAACCCCGAAAAAGAAUGGGUUGAAACUUAUUGCCCUUGAAAUUAGGGGCCGAAAGCCCAGAAGGAAAAACUUCUUGGUGGAGGCUCGUAGCGAUUCUGACGUGCAAAUCGAUCGUCGAAUUUGGGUAUAGGG
rnacentral:rRNA from 1 species